GCGCCCGGCAAGGUGGUCUCUGGGGGACACUUCCGGCCUCACCUGGCUGGGUGGAGCCACAGGAUGGAGCCUGUGCAAGAUGAAGUGUAGAUGCAUGUUGUGCAUGUUUCUCUGCGUCUCUCAGCCCCUGAAGCCUGGACAGCAGAGCCCGGCCCUGAUGGAAACCAAUCACUGCUGUCACUUCAGAUUCACUCGGUGUUCAGACAAGACUGCGUUCAGGUUGCCGGUGGUGAAGCCUGAGAAGACGUGAAGGUUGAUGUUCAGAGAUGUCAGCAGUGGAGAUUCAGUUUCACCUAGUCAGGGAUAAGGGACAAGUUUUUUUUGGCUGUAUUCUUGUUGGUUUCUACUCCCUCUGCUAUCACACGGUGCAUUUUAAUGUCAUCAUCAGCAGUCUGCAGUCAUAUCAUGUGGUUUCAGCAGCCAUAAUAUAUGAAUAAUGGA